AGGAUGUCUAAGUUUCUAUUAUAGCCGCACAUAUGUCCGAUCUCUAUGGGUAUCCACACGAUAUUUGAUUUAAUCGGAGACUUUUUGAUCUCUCUAGAGUGCUAGCUCUCUUGCAAAGAUUGCUUGCUUGAUGAUUGAUUAGGAUUUUCUUCAAUCUCUAAGACUCUCUCAAAGAAGAAAAAGAAAACUAAAAGGAAGAAGAUGACCUAAGAGAGGAGAGAAUCCUUCUCUCUUUUUCUUGUCUCUUCUCUCUAUGAUCCCAUGCCCAAAGAAGAGUCCUAUGCCCAAAACCAAUCUACUAUUAGGUCUGCACAUCCCAUAAUCCCUUUUUAAAUAAGCGCCCAAGUAGUUAAGGUAAGACUAGGUUUGGCAAAAUCAAACCUAAUCAAACUAGGACUCCAACUUUGAUCCAAUCAAAAUCAGAUCAAAUUAGAUUUGAUCCUUAUCAAAAAGUGAAGAAAUAGGGAGG
rnacentral:lncRNA from 1 species